UACGUAGGUGACAAGCGUUUGUCCGGAUUUACUGGGCGUAAAGAGCGCGCAGGCGGUCGAUCAAGUCGAGUGUGAAAGCCCCCGGCUCAACUGGGGGAGGGUCAUCGAUAACUGAUCGACUUCGAAGGCAGGAGAGGGUAGUGGAAUUCCCGGUGUCAGUGGUGAAAUGCGUAGAUAUGGGAGGAACACCAGUGGCGAAGGCGACUACCUGGCCUGUUCUUGACGCUGAGGCGCGAAGCUAGGGAGCAAACGGG
rnacentral:rRNA from 1 species